AGGAGAAUACAGUGCCUCACAAGCAAUGGAGCCUUCUACUAGAGGGCGUUUGGGCAACAGCGACUUUUACAGAGCACUAGACGCUAGACGCGGCAAAUCAAAACAGGCCUGGAGUUGCAUAUCUGACCUUACUUAUAAAGGUCAAGGAGCAAGGAACAAAGUUUGGAGUAAUCUUUCAUCCAUUGGUACAGUGAUUGCUGGCCAUUCCCGGCAAGUGGUGACCCUGGUGUGACCAUUUUGCAAUGGACAUCGUACAGACUGCCCGGAAACAAAAAGUCUGCGCACAAUUUUAUUUAUUUAUUCAUGAGAGACAGAGAGAAACAGAGGGAGAAGCAGGCUCCCAAGGAGCGGGAAGCCCGAUGCGGGACUCGAUCCCAGGACCCUGGGAUCAUGACCUGAGCCGAAGGCAGACGCUUAACCAUCUGA